CGCACGGGUGCGUAACACGUAUACAAUCUGCCUUUAACAGGGGGAUAGCCCGGAGAAAUCCGGAUUAAUACCCCAUAAUAGUUUGACUGGCAUCAGUUGAAUUUGAAAGCUCCGGCGGUUAAAGAUGAGUAUGCGUCUGAUUAGCUAGUUGGUGAGGUAACGGCUCACCAAGGCGACGAUCAGUAGGGGAUCUGAGAGGAUUAACCCCCACACGGAUACUGAGACACGGAUCCGACUCCUACGGGAGGCAGCAGUAAGGAAUAUUGGACAAUGCCCGCAAGGGUGAUCCAGCCAUGCCGCGUGCAGGAAGACGGCCCUAUGGGUUGUAAACUGCUUUUACACCGGAGAAAACCUCCCCUCGUGAGGGGAGCUGAUAGUAUGGUGAGAAUAAGCAUCGGCUAACUUCGUGCCAGCAGCCGCGGUAAGACGAAGGAUGCAAGCGUUAUCCGGAUUCAUUGGGUUUAAAGGGAGCGUAGGUGGCCUUAUAAGUCAGUGGUGAAAUCUCUGGGCUUAACCCAGAAAUUGCCAUUGAUACUGUAGGGCUUGAGUACAGUUGCUGUGGGCGGAAUAUGACAUGUAGUGGUGAAAUACAUAGAGAUGUCAUAGAACACCGAUUGCGAAGGCAGCUCACAAAACUGUAACUGACACUGAGGCUCGAAAGUGCGGGGAUCAAACAGGAUUAGAUACCCUGGUAGUCCGCACCGUAAACGAUGAUUACUCGUUGCUAGAGGGCAACUUUUAGUGGCUAAGCGAAAGCGAUAAGUAAUCCACCUGGGGAGUACGCCGGCAACGGUGAAACUCAAAGGAAUUGACGGGGGCCCGCACAAGCGGAGGAGCAUGUGGUUUAAUUCGAUGAUACGCGAGGAACCUUACCAGGGCUUGAAAGUUAGGGAAUAUCUCUGAAAGGAGAUAGUCAGCAAUGACCCGAAACCAGGUGCUGCAUGGCUGUCGUCAGCUCGUGCCGUGAGGUGUUGGGUUAAGUCCCGCAACGAGCGCAACCCCUACCAUUAGUUGCCAGCGGUUCGGCCGGGGACUCUAGUGGAACUGCCCGCGCAAGCGGUGAGGAAGGUGGGGAUGACGUCAAGUCAUCACGGCCCUUACGUCCUGGGCUACACACGUGCUACGAUGGCUAUUACAGAGGGCAGCUACAUGGCAACAUGAUGCAAAUCUUCAAAAAUAGUCUCAGUUCGGAUUGGGGUCUGCAACU
rnacentral:rRNA from 1 species